rnacentral:rRNA from 1 species
CACGUAGGCGGCCAUUUAAGUCGGAAGUGAAAGCCCCCGGCUCACCCGGGGAGGGUCUUUCGAUACUGGAUGGCUAGAGGACGGUAGGGGAUAGCGGAACUCCUGGUGGAGCGGUGAAAUGCGUAGAUAUCAGGAGGAACACCCGAGGCGAAGGCGGCUAUCUGGUCCGUUUCUGACGCUGAGGUGCGAAAGCCAGGGUAGCGAACG